GCGGGAGUGGUGAAACUGGUAGACGCGCGGGACUCAAAAUCCCGUGGGGGAAACCCCGUGUCGGUUCGAUUCCGACCUCCCGCA
rnacentral:tRNA from 1 species